CCUACGGGGGGCAGCAGUAGGGAAUCUUCCGCAAUGGACGAAAGUCUGACGGAGCAACGCCGCGUGAGCGAAGAAGGUCUUCGGAUCGUAAAGCUCUGUUGUCGGGGAAGAACAAGUACGGCCGGAAAUGGCCGUACCUUGACGGUACGCGGCGAGAAAGCCACGGCUAACUACGUGCCAGCAGCAGCGGUAAUACGUAGGUGGCAAGCGUUGUCCGGAAUUAUUGGGCGUAAAGCGCGCGCAGGCGGUCCUUUAAGUCUGAUGUGAAAGCUUGCGGCUCAACCGCGAGCGGUCAUUGGAAACUGGGGGAGUUGGGUGCAAAAGAGGAAAGCGGUAUUCCACGUGUAACGGUGAAAUGCGUAGAGAUGUGGAGGAAGACCAGUGGCGAAGGCGGCUUUCUGGGCUGGAACUGGCGCUGAGGCGCGAAAGCGUGGGGAGCAAACAGGGUUAGAUACCCUAGUAGUC
rnacentral:rRNA from 1 species